GCAUACUCUUUGAAUUCCAACAGAACCUGAUCUAUGUUACGAUCAGAAGCUAGCUUUAUCAUAAUCUCCAGUUUCUCCAUUUUAACAUAUAUCGGAUCAUUGUACUUGCAGAAAAAUACCUUGAUUUCAUGGGCAAGGAUUGUAGGACGUUUCUGCACAAUAAGAUUUAUGUUGCGCAAUGCUACAUACUGUAUUUCAGGCUCUGCAGAAAGAAGAGUCACAAGAGGAGGU
rnacentral:misc_RNA from 1 species